rnacentral:rRNA from 1 species
ACCCGCUGAACUUAAGCAUAUCAAUAAGCGGAGGAAAAGAAACUAACAAGGAUUCCCCUAGUAACGGCGAGUGAAGUGGGAAAAGCUCAACUUUGAAAUCUGGUACUUUCAGUAUCCGAAUUGUAGUCUCAAGAAGUGUUUUCUGUGCCGGUCCAUGUAUGAGUCUGUUGGAACACAGCGUCAUAGAGGGUGACAACCCCGUUCAUGACAUGGAUCCCGGUGCUUUGUGAUACACUCUCGAAGAGUCGAGUUGUUUGGGAAUGCAGCUCAAAUUGGGUGGUAAAUUCCAUCUAAAGCUAAAUAUUGGCGAGAGACCGACAGCAAACAAGUACCGUGAGGGAAAGAUGAAAAGCACUUUGGAAAGAGAGUUAACAGUACGUGAAAUUGUUGAAAGGGAAACGAUUGAAGUCAGACGUGCGUGAUGCGGCUCAGCUCUAGUUCGCUAGAGUGUACUCCGUAUCUUUGCAGGCCAACAUCGGUUUUGUUAGUCGGAUAAAGGUUUGAGAAAUGUGGCACCUUCGGGUGUGUUAUAGUCUCAGACUGAAUACGAUUGAUGGGACCGAGGAACGCAGCGCGCCGCAAGGCAAAGGUUCCGACCUUUUCGCGCUUAGGAUGUUGGUGAAAUGGCUUUAAACGACCCGUCUUGAAACACGGACCAAGGAG